rnacentral:lncRNA from 1 species
AACAGUGUGUGGAACGUUGGCGACCUCGGCGCUCGAGCUGCACUCCGCUGGGCUCUUGGCAGCACCCUGUGCUCUGAGGGUGUCUUGCCCGCCGGGCGCCGUGGCUCACGCCUGUAAUCCCAACACUUUGGGAGGCUGAGGCGGGCGGAUCACUUGAGGUCAAGAGUUCAAGACCAGCCUGGCCAACAUGGUGAAAGCCCAUCUCUACUAAAAAUACAAAAAUUAGCCAGAUUCUACUCUAAAAGUCACCAGGAAAAAUUCAGCUCCACUGGUCCUGGCUCUAAGUCUACUAGCAAAAUCUUCCAGAGAAGUGGAAAAGCCAUCAGCCAAUGUGUUAGACUAUCAUUUCCAUGACCUUACACCUAUCAAAAAGGCACUAUUACCAGGCUUAUAGAAUUCUAAAAAAGUUGGAAACCAUUUUCCAUUAUAAAAGAAAUUCUUCCAAAUCACACAAAACACUCUGACACUUCUCCAAUUCCCCCUAUCAUGGGGCUGGCAGCAGCCGCUUUGCGUCCUGAAUGUCAUGACAGUGAUGAUAACAGUAAUGAUGAUAACAGCAAUGAUGAAGUCUCACAUUUAAAAUUUUCAAGUCACUCAUCACAUCCCAAGUCACUCC